UACAGAAGGAAAAAAUUUAUAUUUAGACUAACUGGUUAAUUCAAGAAGUGCUAAUUAAUUUCGUCUCCUUUUAAUUUUAGUAUGUCUAUUUUUUUUUAAUGUAUACCAUUAUUAUGUCAUAGUUAAAUGUGCUUUAUGUUCUCAUAUUGGUAGGGACAUUGAAAAUCUGUCAUUAAAUACAUAUAACAUCUCUCAUGUCAUGUGUACCAUGUACCAUCAGCAAAAGAUUUGUGUGAAGUUGUUAAAUGGGAUCACUGUCUUGAAGGUUAUCAUUUUUUUUUUAUUCUUUGAUAAAUAAAUGAUAAAGUUCUUAUGCUAGUAUAUUAGUUGUUAUGUCUCUUAACUCGACUCCUUCAACCCUUAGCUCAAACCAGUAAGCUAAGAGAUCACUUGUGAUAUAGUGUAGAGAAUCAUGACCUUAGAGAGAAAAUGGGAAUAGUGGCACACACUUCUGGUUUUAAUGAUUCAGAAUUUCAAGCUUUCAUAUGCAGGGAUGGUAGGAGGAAAGAGGCUUACCGUAGCUACAGUUGCUUCAGUUAUAGUUUUCCUUUUGUAGAGUAAAAGGCAUUUAUUGAAAUCAUUUGUAGAAACUUACUGGUUAUAAUGAUUAUGUGUAUGUUUGGUAUCACAGUGGCCGUAAAUCGUAAUUUUGAAAAACCUACCGUGAUACUGAACAUGGACUAUUUAUUACAACUCUACUCUUUUGAACUUCUUCAUAAGCAACCUAUGUGCAAUUUUGUAGGCAACUAAGAAUUUUUAAAUGUGGCAGAAGUCUGGUGUUGAUUUUGUUGGUUCCCUGUGACUUCUUAAACCUUAAUUGCCACUUUCAUUUUGUUUAUUUUCAUAAUAUCAUUCAUCUUGUAUAUUUGAGCUGUAUGGUGAUAGAUCACUCGAUGAUGCUCUUGAUACGAUAUCACUCUAAAGUUUAUACUAUUAGGUAGGUAUUAAUUCCUCUAGAAAUAUUACGAAAUAUGUAUCAACUUGUUAAUAUUUUCUCCUUCGCCGGGGUUUGAACUCGGGUCCUUUAACUCCUC
rnacentral:lncRNA from 1 species